UACGUGAGCUCCAAGCGUUACUCGGAAUUAUUGGGCGUAAAGGGUGCGUAGGUGGUUUUGUUAGUCUUUUGUCAAAGCCUUCGGCUUAACCGAAGAAGGGCGAAAGAAACGGCAAGACUAGAGGGUGUGAGAGGUGUACAGAACUCAUGGUGUAGGGGUGAAAUCCGUUAAUAUCAUGGGGAAUACCAAAGGCGAAGGCAGUACACUGGCACAUUCCUGACACUGAGUGCACGAAAGCGUGGGGAGCGAACGGG
rnacentral:rRNA from 1 species